UACGUAGGGGGCAAGCGUUGUCCGGAAUCAUUGGGCGUAAAGAGCUCGUAGGCGGCUUGUCGCGUCUGCCGUGAAAGUCCGGGGCUCAACUCCGGAUCUGCGGUGGGUACGGGCAGACUAGAGUGAUGUAGGGGAGACUGGAAUUCCUGGUGUAGCGGUGAAAUGCGCAGAUAUCAGGAGGAACACCGAUGGCGAAGGCAGGUCUCUGGGCAUUAACUGACGCUGAGGAGCGAGAGCAUGGGGAGCGAACAGG
rnacentral:rRNA from 1 species